UUUAAGGCCGCCCCGCGGCGCCCCGCGCUUUACCUCGUCUUGCGCGGGCGGCCGCGGCCGGGCACCGCGGGGAAGGGCGGCGCGGCCCGCGGUGGGAGGCGGCCGGGAAAAGAAAAACACGAUCAGCAGAACAGUUCCAGCACCACACCCCUGUUAUCACUCAGGCAACCUCCCUGUCCGAAAUAUUUUAAGUGGAUAAUAAAAUAGCCACCGUA